GCCCGCCUAGCUCAAUCGGCCAGAGCGUCAGACUUUUACGGAGGGCUUUCCCACGGGCAUCUGAAGGCUGCGAGUUCGACCCUCGCGGUGGGCU